GUAAAAAUAAUUUAAAACAAAAUAUUGAAUUGUGAUUUCAAAAAUGUACUUAAUAUACUUUUUACC
rnacentral:tRNA from 1 species